rnacentral:rRNA from 1 species
UAAGUACAACUCUAUGCGGUGGAUCACUCGGCUCGUGUGUCGAUGAAGAGCGCAGCCAACUGUGUGAAUUAAUGUGAAUCGCAGACUGCUUUGAACAUCGACCUCUUGAACGCACAUUGCGGC